ACAUACCAUAACAGUUGCUGGUGACUUAUGCCUAUAAUCCUAGCUACUCAGGAGGAAGAGGUCUGAUAAUUAUGGUUUGAAAACAGCCUAAUCAGGAAAGUCUGUGACAC